rnacentral:rRNA from 1 species
UACGGAGGGUGCAAGCGUUAUCCGGAUUCACUGGGUUUAAAGGGUGCGUAGGUGGGUUGGUAAGUCAGUGGUGAAAUCUCCGAGCUUAACUUGGAAACUGCCAUUGAUACUAUCAGUCUUGAAUAUUGUGGAGGUUAGCGGAAUAUGUCAUGUAGCGGUGAAAUGCUUAGAUAUGACAUAGAACACCAAUUGCGAAGGCAGCUGGCUGGGACGUAACUGACGCUGAGACGCGAAAGCGUGGGGAGCAAACAGG